rnacentral:rRNA from 1 species
UACGAAGGGGGCUAGCGUUGCUCGGAAUCACUGGGCGUAAAGCGCACGUAGGCGGCUUUCUAAGUCAGGGGUGAAAUCCUGGAGCUCAACUCCAGAACUGCCUUUGAUACUGGGGAGCUCGAGUCCGGAAGAGGUGAGUGGAACUCCGAGUGUAGAGGUGAAAUUCGUAGAUAUUCGGAAGAACACCAGUGGCGAAGGCGGCUCACUGGUCCGGUACUGACGCUGAGGUGCGAAAGCGUGGGGAGCAAACGGG